UUACCUUGUGCGGUGAUGGUGGUGCUCUUCUUCUAUUUGGUCUGAUUGUGCUGACUCUUAUUGAACAAGAUGAUGCAAGACAUAGCUUUGGGCAUUCUGGAGGCUUUAUAUGUCCAUUUGUUCCACUGCUUCCGAUCUUCUGCAUUCUGAUCAACAUAUACCUGCUGAUUAAUCUAGGUGCCGCCACCUGGGCCCGUGUUUCAGUCUGGCUCCUAAUUGGAGUGUUCGUUUAUGCAUUCUAUGGGCGGACUCACAGCUCACUAUUAGAUGCAGUCUAUGUGCCUGCAGCUCAUGCUGAUAAGAUUUAUCGCAGCUCUGGAGAUAGUUUAGCUUAGAAUCCAACUGGUCUCGGUAGCCAGGAUCCCCUUCCAUGUAAUUCUUACAACAGAAUCUCUUUGUUGUACAGUGGCGUUCCCCCAAAACAUCCCCCUACGCCAAUUUUUUUUUUCCACAUUAAUUUUCCUCUUGCCAUGUAUAUAUGUAUAUAUGUAUUAUUGUGGCUGAAAUGUAUAUAUGUACAUAUGUAUAUAUGAGGGUUGAUUUUGGGACCUGUUCAAACAAUGUAAAUAGUUUACAAGUGGAAGAAGAUGUUCUUUUGUUUC